rnacentral:rRNA from 1 species
GAUCCUGGCUCGGGAUGAACGCUGGCGGCGUGCCUAACACAUGCAAGUUGAGCGAUUUACUUCGGUAAAGAGCGGCGGACGGGUGAGUAACGCGUGGGUAACCUACCCUGUACACACGGAUAACAUACCGAAAGGUAUGCUAAUACGGGAUAAUAUAUUUGAGAGGCAUCUCUUGAAUAUCAAAGGUGAGCCAGUACAGGAUGGACCCGCGUCUGAUUAGCUAGUUGGUAAGGUAACGGCUUACCAAGGCGACG